rnacentral:tRNA from 1 species
GGGGCUGUAGCUCAGUGGUAGAGCGCUCCCCUAGCAUGGGCGGGACUUGGGUUCGAUCCUCAGCAUCACA